CAGGGAGACUGGCCCAGCAGGGGCUCUCUGGGCCAACUGAGCAAGGUGACAGGGCCCAGGAAAGGAGCUGUUGCCUGCACAAGGGCAGAUGGAGUCAAGGAAUCAGUGUUCGUGGGAUCCUGGCUGUCCCCACAGUGUCGUGGCUGAACCUUACAAGAACAGAAGCAAGUGAAGCACAGGUGGCCAGCCACCUCAUGGGGGAAGUAUUGAUAACGAAGGGACUCAAAGCAGCAUAGACAUGGGAUGCUGAGGGGCCAAGUGAGCAGAGCAGAGAGUGAGUGCUGCAAGUCCUCGGAGAGGUCAACCGGGACCCAAGCAUCCAGAAAAGGCAGGGACCAUGCAAAGGGGUCCGAAAAAUGGGACCUUCAGUGGAAAGCACUGAGAAGACCAUUAUUCAGUCUCUGUGCCCAGAAUCACUGUCUGCCAGGCUCUGGCCAACCUGUAGCCUCUCCGUGCUGAAAACGACCCGCUAAAAAAGCCAAGAGGGAAGGACCCAGCACACAGCCGUGAACCACAUAUACACGAAGAGGGCCUAAAGUAAAAAAGAUAAACUUUAAAUCAAACGGAAACUUUUUCCAGCAACUUCCACUCUUGUGAUACUGAACUGAACUGAAGCAGAAGAUUUUAAGAGUUGCCUGAAUCCUUUGGAUUAACCUGCUUAUUGGCUUAAAAAGUCUAAUUGUGAAAUUGACUUAAAAAUUCCUAAUUGUGAAAGAAGGGGUCUCUUCUUUGGCAUGGCACUCUCACUAACAAUUGUCUUGGUAAGAGGACCCAACAAACAGCAAUAGAAAUAGAAAACUAUGGAUUGCUAGGUGAGAGUAUUUUUUAACCUGCUUCAAUCUACAACUGCAAAAUGAACUGGCCCAAUUUAAUUAGAAAAAUUUCAGAGUUUCUGACCACUGAUCUACAUUACUGAAAGGUUACAUGUGAAAUAAAUGUGGGGU
rnacentral:lncRNA from 1 species